GAUCAUGGCUCAGGAUGAACGCUAGCUACAGGCUUAACACAUGCAAGUCGAGGGGCAGCAUGAUUGAAGCUUGCUUCAAUUGAUGGCGACCGGCGCACGGGUGAGUAACACGUAUCCAACCUGCCGAUAACUCGGGGAUAGCCUUUCGAAAGAAAGAUUAAUACCCGAUAGUAUAGUAUUUCCGCAUGGUUUCACUAUUAAAGAAUUUCGGUUAUCGAUGGGGAUGCGUUCCAUUAGA
rnacentral:rRNA from 1 species